GAUGAACGCUGGCGGCGUGCCUAAUACAUGCAAGUCGAGCGAACAGACGAGGAGCUUGCUCCUCUGACGUUAGCGGCGGACGGGUGAGUAACACGUGGAUACCCUACCUAUAAGACUGGGAUAACUUCGGAAAACCGGGCUUAUACCCGAUCAUACAAUUUAACCCCUGGAUCAAUUAUUGAAGACCGGUUUUCUUUCCCUUUAAGCUUGAACCGCGCCGCCUUAGUUUGUUUGUUAGGUAACGGCUUACCAAGGCAACCAUGCGUAGCCGACCUGAGAGGGUGAUCGGCCACACUGGAACGGAGACACGGUCCAGACUCCUACGGGAGGCAGCAGUAGGGAAUCUUCCGCAAUGAGCGAAAGCCUGACGGAGCAACGCCGCGUGAGUGAUGAAGGUCUUCGGAUCGUAAAACUCUGUUAUUAGGGAAGAACAAAUGUGUAAGUAACGAUGCACGUCUUGACGGUACCUAAUCAGAAAGCCACGGCUAACUACGUG
rnacentral:rRNA from 1 species